GUGAUGAUGGUGGUGAUGGUGGUGAUGAUGGUGGUGGUGAUGGUGAUGGUGGUGAUGAUGGUGGUGGUGAUGGUGAUGGUGGUGAUGAUGAUGGUGGUGGUGAUGGUGAUGAUGGUGAUGGUGGUGAUGGUGGUGAUGGUGAUGAUGGUGGUGGUGAUGGUGAUGAUGGUGGUGAUGGUGAUGAUGGUGAUGGUGAUGAUGGUGGUGGUGAUG